GACGAACGCUGGCGGCGUGCUUAACACAUGCAAGUCGAACGGAAAGGCCUGCUUUCCCUUGUGGAUUGCGGGUACUCGAGUGGCGAACGGGUGAGUAACACGUGAGUGAUCUGCCCCCAACUUGGGUAUAAGCCUGGGAAACUGGGUCUAAUUCCCGAUAGGACUGCAGGGUGGUGCCUGUGGUGGAAAACGAUUUUCUAGUGGUUGGGGAUGAGCUCGCGGCCUAUCAGCUUGUGGGUGGGGUAAUGGCCUACCAAGGCGGGGACGGGUAGCCGGCCUGAGAGGGUGGACGGGCACAUUGGGACUGGGAUACGGCCCAGACUCGUACGGGAGGCAGCAGUGGGGAAUAUUGGACGAUGGGCGGAAGCCUGAUGCAGCGACGCCGCGUGGGGGAUGACGGCCUUCGGGUUGUAAACUCCUUUCGACCGCGAGGAAGCCACCUGGUUGGAAGGGUGGUGACGGUAGUGGUAGAAGAAGCACCGGCUAACUACGUG
rnacentral:rRNA from 1 species